ACACGAGGGGCAUCUUGAGGACUGUCUAACCUGAGAAUGGUGGAACUUCAGGCUCAAUCUCAGGUUCGUCAGCCCACGAGAUGCCUUCUCCAG
rnacentral:pre_miRNA from 1 species